GAUGAACGCUGGCGGCGUGCCUAAUACAUGCAAGUCGAGCGAACAGACGAGGAGCUUGCUCCUCUGACGUUAGCGGCGGACGGGUGAGUAACACGUGGAUAACCUACCUAUAAGACUGGGAUAACUUCGGGAAACCGGAGCUAAUACCGGAUAAUAUAUUGAACCGCAUGGUUCAAUAGUGAAAGACGGUUUUGCUGUCACUUAUAGAUGGAUCCGCGCCGCAUUAGCUAGUUGGUAAGGUAACGGCUUACCAAGGCAACGAUGCGUAGCCGACCUGAGAGGGUGAUCGGCCACACUGGAACUGAGACACGGUCCAGACUCCUACGGGAGGCAGCAGUAGGGAAUCUUCCGCAAUGGGCGAAAGCCUGACGGAGCAACGCCGCGUGAGUGAUGAAGGUCUUCGGAUCGUAAAACUCUGUUAUUAGGGAAGAACAAAUGUGUAAGUAACUAUGCACGUCUUGACGGUACCUAAUCAGAACGCCACGGCUAACUACGUG
rnacentral:rRNA from 1 species